rnacentral:miRNA from 1 species
GCAGACACAUUCCAGCCAAUCAGCAGCAGACCCUCUCUCCCAGACCCUCCCACCUCCUGGACAGCAUCACUAAGAAUGCAGCUUCACAAUGAAUGUAAAAUGAGCUGUCCAGGAGGUGGGAGGGUCUGGGAGGGAGGGUCUGCUGCUGAUUGGCUGGAAUGUGUCUG